UUAAUUAAAACCAAAGAGAGGUAUAUUAUUGUUAAUAAUAAAAUUGAAUAUAAAUUAUUCUAAUUAAA
rnacentral:tRNA from 1 species